GCCAGACUCCUACGGGAGGCAGCAGUGGGGGAUAUUGCACAAUGGGGGGAACCCUGAUGCAGCGACGCCGCGUGGGUGAAGGAGCGUUUCGGCGCGUAAAGCCCUAUCGGCAGGGAAGAAGGAGGACGGUACCUGGCUAAGAAGCCCCGGCUAACUACGUGCCAGUAGCCGCGGUAAUACGUAGGGGGCAAGCGUUAUCCGGAUUUACUGGGUGUAAAGGGGGCGCAGACGGCAGCGCAAGCCAGGAGUGAAAGCCCGGGGCCCAACCCCGGGACUGCUCUUGGAACUGCGCGGCUGGAGUGCAGGAGGGGCAGGCGGAAUUCCUGGUGUAGCGGUGAAAUGCGUAGAUAUCAGGAGGAACACCGGUGGCGAAGGCGGCCUGCUGGACUGCGACUGACGUUGAGGCCCGAAAGCGUGGGGAGCAAACAGGAUUAGAUACCCCAGUA
rnacentral:rRNA from 1 species